UUGUGUAGGCGGCUUGUUAAGCAGGAUGUGAAAGCGUAUGGCUCAACCAUAUAAACAUGUCUUGAACUGGCAAGCUAGAGGACGAGAGAGGUUAUUGGAAUUUCUGGUGUAGGAGUGAAAUCCGUAGAUAUUAGAAGGAACACCAAUAACGUAGGCAGAUAACUGGCUCGUUUCUGACGCUCAGACACGAAAGCGUGGGGAGCAAACG
rnacentral:rRNA from 1 species